UAUAAUGAACCUUUGUCUUUUCUUGUCUCUCUCUCCUUUAUUGGAUGAAUGAACUCACAGUUGGUAUUUCAUUAAAAAUAAUGUGUUGUACUUGCCUACGUAUCAUGGGUUGUGCUGAUGACUGUAGCUUACCUUAAUGUGUAAUAUCACUUACAACAUUAAAUGGGCUAGUUAAAGCUGGUAAAAGUAGUGAAAAAACAAAGAAUUAGAAGAUCGACAGAUCCUGUGAGGCAGAAGAAGACUAUGGAAGGUUAAAUUUGACUUUAUUUUGAAAACAGGAGGGCUGGAAGAAAAAUCUACAUGUGUGUUAAUCCAAUAACACCUAACCUGGUAGCAAAGUUGGUAAGUUAUUUACAAGUCAAGAAAUAGCUACUUCUCGUUACAAAUAAGCUCUUCAUCAUCUGGAAGUUGGAUUCACCUUUGUCAUGCCUGGAAAUACCUGGUGGAUACCCUGAAAUUCUACUGUGACUCCUGCCAAAGAAGUUUGGUAUUGCCCCUUACUUGGGCUAAUCAACAUUGUGUAAUGAAAGUUUGAUGAGUGACCCAAAAACAGUCAUUCUCAGAAGACUUGUAUACUGGUAUUGAAUUCGACAUGACUAACCGCAUCGGAGGAGAUCGCUGAUUGAAUGUGAUGAACGAGAGGAUAUGACAGACUGAUGGUUGUAACUUUAUUUUACCUAAAGAAAGCAUACCUGGAAGAAAGCUCCGGAAAGCUCAACCGUUUCUGAAUCUAACAGCACAAAACUCAAGCCUCCCCACAUUUUACGCGUUCCAACUUUGUAUGGCAAUCUUCAGUUACACCGAAUUCGUAAAUAACCUACAGAUAAAGGUAUGAAUACCUCAGCGAAUAACAAAAGAACCGUGAAUCUGCUCAGUAUGACAUCACUAUGGCACUCAAUAACGAGAAAAGACAUGAAACCAUUAUUAUAGUUAUCAUUUACCUUACCCGAUCCUUGUGCAGUUCAAGCUUCGGUCGAUCCAUACGCAUUUCGCACCAUUCUUUAGGAACAUUCUUUAUGAAACCUGAAGAUUAAAAGGGAAGCCAUGGAAUUGUUAAAACUUUGGCGAAUCAAAUAAACCCAAAUCGGAACCAGCACCCAGCAGAAAAACCAUCUUCGUCUAGUAGAGAAUAAAGUACACGAAUGCGGGGUUAGAUAUCCAUACGUACACUUACAGAGAAGAGGCGAGAAGAUGAGAAACAUGCGAAGAGGAUGUUCCAGCUGCGUUCUGAUGGUUGAAGAGGAGUCUACGUUGAUGUGACCUGGCAAACGAAAUAAAGUUCAUCCAAAGGGACUGUUCUAACGAGAGAAGGAAGUUUCUAAAGGGGACUACUUAGUGUGGUUUACACUAAUAUUGGUGUAAAAAUGCAGUCUCAUCGUGUGUCCUCAAGAGACACAUCCGUAUUUUUCCCGGAGAAAUAUCAGGUGUUUAAAUCCAGUAAUCCACCAUGCUGUCUUGAGAAUUCUGACCGAGAAAGGAGUGCAACCAGACAGUAAAUCCGACAUAUCAAAAUAAGGUGUGAAAUUCUGAUUGGACCUACGCCAAUGGAACAAGGUUAUCUGCUGAGGAUCCAUCGACAAGAAAAGGGAGGAAAUUCCGUCGCCAGUGCCGUGCCAAUCAGCCAGAGCACAGUCUGUGGCAAGAGAUUCCAGUUAGGUAGAUAUCUUCGAAUGGAAUCAUUGGAGUCGUUUGAAUGGCGGCCAAUAGCGGAAGGAUCUAAGUCCCGUGCAUCAAAUAAGCAGGUCCAUCCACGUAAUUGGGAUACGUUUUCCAUGGCCGCUCAUCCAAUGAUAUUUUAUGCGACCCACCUAACUCCACCCUCAUAUUGCCAUCGGUCGUCACUCUUUUUCGUAUAAAAUCGUGGAGGAAUGAGUUGGAAAGUAUCAGUUAUCCAGCUGUUUCAAACAAGUCAACUACUGCUCCAACAUGAAGUUCUUUAUCGUCGUUGCCCUUAUUGCGUUCGCUGCUGCCGAUUCCUACAAGGCUGCUGAAUACGAAGCCCCAAAAUACAACACUCCCAAGUACGAGACUCCUAAAUAUGAGGCCCCCAAGUACGAGACUCCUAAAUACGAGGCUCCUAAAAACGAGGCCCCCAAGUACGAAGCCCCCA
rnacentral:lncRNA from 1 species